UCUGUAUUCCACAAGACAUAGACAAGCGUCUGUAUUGCUAAAGACAUUUAAAAGUUAGUCUAAAUUCUAUUGUAAAAAAAUAUUCACAAUAUGGAGCACUGUUUGCAUAAUUGAUUAGGUUCCAUUUUAAUUCUCAAAUGAGCUCUUGCUAGAUCUACCUAAGACCUGGUGUUCCAGAGAGAGGACAGAGCUAUACUGUGUCUGAUCAAUGCUUUACACUUCCAGUCAAAUCUGGAGAGCAACAUUUUAUUUUGUGAUACAUAACAACAUCUGAAGAGAGAGCUAUCUCUCCUUAUUGAAAUAAGUUCUGGUGCACAACAAAACAGAGAGAGAGAGAGAGAGAGAGAGAGAGA